rfam:Felis catus isolate Cinnamon breed Abyssinian chromosome A2, whole genome shotgun sequence.
GCCUGGCUGGCUCAGUCAGUUAAGCGUCAGACUUCAGCUCAAGUCAUGAUCUCACGGUUUGUGAGUUCGAGCCCCACGUCAGGCU